GACGAACGCUGGCGGCGUGCCUAAUACAUGCAAGUAGAACGCUGAGGGCGGAGCUUGCUCUUCUGGAUGAGUUGCGAACGGGUGAUUAACGCGUAGGUAACCUGCCUGGUAGCGGGGGAUAACUAUUGGAAACGAUAGCUAAUACCGCAUAACAGUAGAUGUUGCAUGAUAUUUGCUUAAAAGGUGCAAUUGCUCCACUACCAGAUGGACCUGCGUUGUAUUAGCUAGUUGGUGGGUUAACGGCUCACCAAGGCGACGAUACAUAGCCGACCUGAGAGGGUGAUCGGCCACACUGGGACUGAGACACGGCCCAGACUCCUACGGGAGGCAGCAGUAGGGAAUCUUCGGCAAUGGACGGAAGGCUGACCGAGCAACGCCGCGUGAGUGAAGAAGGUUGUCGGAUCGUAAAGCUCUGUUGUAAGAGAAGAACGAGUGUGAGAGUGGAAAGUGCACACUGUGACGGUAUCUUACCAGAAAGGGACGGCUAACUACGUG
rnacentral:rRNA from 1 species